rnacentral:rRNA from 1 species
AGUGAACGCUGGCGGUAGGCCUAACACAUGCAAGUCGAACGGCAGCACAGUAAGAGCUUGCUCUUACGGGUGGCGAGUGGCGGACGGGUGAGGAAUACAUCGGAAUCUACUUUUUCGUGGGGGAUAACGUAGGGAAACUUACGCUAAUACCGCAUACGACCUACGGGUGAAAGCAGGGGAUCUUCGGACCUUGCGCGAUUGAAUGAGCCGAUGUGGGAUUAGCUAGUUGGCGGGGUAAAGGCCCACCAAGGCGACGAUCCGUAGCUGGUCUGAGAGGAUGAUCGGCCACACUGGAACUGAGACACGGUCCAGACUCCUGCGGGAGGCAGCAGUGGGGAAUAUUGGACAAUGGGCGCAAGCCUGAUCCAGCCAUACCGCGUGGGUGAAGAAGGCCUUCGGGUUGUAAAGCCCUUUUGUUGGGAAAGAAAAGCAGCAGGUUAAUACCCCGCUGUUCUGACGGUACCCAAAGAAUAAGCACCGGCUAACUUCGUG